CGAGUCAUGUGAGAUCACAAUCGUCUUGUCUGUAGGGGGUAUUUUUCGUUCAUCUUACUUCAUUGAUGGGUAGCCUUUUUAUACCUAUCAUGCCUUCAAGGCCCAUUUAAAGAGUGUUCCUUUGAAUCCCAUGUUUAAAUGGUGUUGAUAAUAUCUUUCGUCCGUUUUUACUAUCAUAUAACACUUCCUCCAUCAUUUUCUGUAACUCCCAUGCAAUCAUAGAGCUAUCUUGUAAUCAUUAUGCAUGAUUAUUCAUG
rnacentral:lncRNA from 1 species